rnacentral:rRNA from 1 species
UAACACGUAAACAACCUGCCUUCAGGAUGGGGACAACAGACGGAAACGACUGCGAAUACCGAAUAAGUUCCAAGGGCCGCAUGGCCCAUGGAAGAAAAGGUGGCCUCUACCUGUAAGCUAUCGCCUGAAGAGGGGUUUGCGUCUGAUUAGCUGGUUGGAGGGGUAACGGCCCACCAAGGCGACGAUCAGUAGCCGGUCUGAGAGGAUGAACGGCCACACUGGAACUGAGACACGGUCCAG